rnacentral:rRNA from 1 species
GAUGAACGCUGGCGGCGUGCCUAAUACAUGCAAGUAGAACGCUGAAGGAAGGAGCUUGCUCUUUCCGGAUGAGUUGCGAACGGGUGAGUAACGCGUAGGUAACCUGCCUGGUAGCGGGGGAUAACUAUUGGAAACGAUAGCUAAUACCGCAUAACAGUAGAUGUUGCAUGACAACUAUUUGAAAGGGGCAAUUGCUCCACUACCGGAUGGACCUGCGUUGUAUUAGCUAGUUGGUGAGGUAACGGCUCACCAAGGCGACGAUACAUAGCCGACCUGAGAGGGUGAUCGGCCACACUGGGACUGAGACACGGCCCAGACUCCUACGGGAGGCAGCAGUAGGGAAUCUUCGGCAAUGGACGGAAGUCUGACCGAGCAACGCCGCGUGAGUGAAGAAGGUUUUCGGAUCGUAAAGCUCUGUUGUAAGAGAAGAACGAGUGUGAGAGUGGAAAGUUCACACUGUGACGGUAUCUUACCAGAAAGGGACGGCUAACUACGUG